rnacentral:rRNA from 1 species
GACGAACGCUGGCGGCGCGCUUAACACAUGCAAGUCGAGCGAGAACCGGGCCUUCGGGCCCGGGGAAAGCGGCGAACGGGUGAGUAACACGUGGGUAACCCACCCUUGGUACCGGGAUAGCCCGGGGAAACCCGGAUUAAUACCGGAUGGCCCAACAGCUCUUCGGGGCGGUUGGAAAAGGUAGCUUCGGCCUCCGACCAAGGACGGGCCCGCGGCGGAUUAGCUUGUUGGUGGGGUAACGGCCCACCAAGGCGACGAUCCGUAGCUGGUCUGAGAGGACGAUCAGCCACACUGGGACUGAGACACGGCCCAGACUCCUACGGGAGGCAGCAGUGGGGAAUCUUGCGCAAUGGGCGAAAGCCUGACGCAGCGACGCCGCGUGGGGAAGAAGCUUCGGUUGUAACCC